AUCCAGACUGCCUCGCUGGAGCUGCAGGAGUUGCAGGACUGGGAGUUUUGUUUUAUAACGGCAGCACACGCCCCAGAUACAGGCAGAGGAGCUGGAGGGAGAUAACUGCAAUUUUGUCAAACCACCCCACCCCUGUUCACCUACACACACACACACACACACACACAGCCACACACACACACAGCCAUUAUAUAGUAUCAUCCUGACCAUUACUGUAUUAAAAUGAUAGUAAUAACUAAUUCUCCUCCACAUUUCCCCCUACUUUCCCUCCUUCUGCUCACCCCCAGUUCCACAUGGAUAGAGCCAUUCACCAGCUGACAGAACAGUGUUUGUCCUCUGGGCUGUGUGUGUGUGUGUGUGUGUGUGUGUGUGUGUGUGUGUGUGUGUGUGUGUGCGUGCGCUGCGAUGGCUAUGAAGAUAUUGAGGUAAAGUUUAUCAGAUCUAGCUGAUUUACAUGAGGCCUAAAGCACUUUUGUGUACUUUUGUUCUGUGGGUUUUCCAGGUGUGUACUAUAAGCCCCCUUACAAUUGAGUUACAUAGACAAUAGUGUGCUUUCAACUUUGUGUGCAAGAGUUUAAGGAAGGCCCUUUACUUUUUUAACAUAAUGCCCUCAUAUACAAUAAAGAAAUAGUUCCCGAGUUUGGUGUGCGGAGAGUCCUUACCAAUCCAACACCUCUGUGAUGGAAGAGAUAGAAAUACACCAGACUACACAAGGUCUCCCCGCCUGCCUCUUGUCUCUUUCUCUCUCCUCUCUUUGCCUUUAAUUGCCCCUGGUGACAUCUUGUCAUGGUAACGUAUGUAUGUUGUAGGGUGAGAGGGUAUGUCUGUUAUAACGUUUUUCUCCCUCCCCCCUUCUUUCUCUCUUUGCCUUACACACACAAACUCUACAGUGUAUGAUGAUGCACACUAUACCACCAACCACAAAACAUGUCAGCAUUGCAUUAGAAGCCCCGCUUCAGUUGUUUCCUGGCCUUGUGAUUCUACCCGUUUCCACCUGCUGGUCUGGUCAGGCCUGCCUGCCUCUUCCGUCCUCCUCCCCUGGGCUCUGUCAUGACUCCUGCCUGCACAUCCACCUUUAUUUAUACUGGAGAGAGUAUUACUGGGUGUGUGCUUAUCCUUUCCUCACACCUAAUACAAUAAUAUUAGCAAGGUAAUGAAUAUCCCCAUGAGAAGCCAAUUUAUCCAGUUAAGCCUUUUAGAGCUGUUCUGUUUCUUCCCCCCGCGGCAGCUCUUAACAAUGAAUGUGAUUAUGUUGAUAUGGUGUUUUGACUGUACUGAAAUAUCUGAUUAGGAGUUAUCUGCCUCGUUGGAAUAAUGCAGGUGGAGUGGUGCUUAACAUACUUAACCACACUGUUGUGUCCAUCCUCCUCAACCUACAAACAAAUUACUUUGUGUAUUCUCUGGAGGGUCAGAACUCCUCCGUAAAACUAAAAUAAGUUGCACACUGUGGAAACAAAGCAUACUUUCUGCCUGUUUUUCUGUUAGUGGAAAUGCUACACAGGUCAAAGAUGGGAAGGUUCCUUCAGAGCAGGUUUAUUUGCAUAAGUUUGCAUGUAAAUGUUUUCAUCAAGUUGUCAGUAUAUGCAAAUUAUUGUUUUAAAAAGCCAGACAGAGAAGAGGCCUGUUUAACGUACAGAGGCAGAUCAUUCCAUAAUUUAGGAGCAGACACAGCAAAGGCACGGUCCCCUCUGAGCUUCCGCUUAGUUUAGGCACACUCAGGAGCAGCUGAUCAUCUGACCUGAGAGAGCGGACGGGUAUAUUGGGGUGUAGAAGCUCAGAGAGGGAUAUGUGGAGAGUGUGUGUCAAUCAACUGAAACUUCUUAAGCGACAAUAGUGAUGAUUUACUAACUGUUUAAGUCACAUAUAAAGUGAAAAUAACUAAAGCCUGGUAAGAGCUUAGUAACUUUUUGCUUUCAGGUCAGUGCAAAUUGAACACUUUGUUUUUUUAUGGUGGUCUAGAACGGCUGUGCUUGCAAUUCUUUAUUUGAAUGCCUUUAUCUCGAGAUCACAAGUUCAUUAUUCGUAUCUCAAGAAAACAAAGGGGGGAUUUCUCGAGAUAACAAGAUAAUUCAUCACGAGAAAACAAGUUUCAUUUAUUCAAGAAGAGAAAAAUGUGUGUCUGGUUUAUUUGAUCACACCUGAUUUCAGCAUUCAAGAUCACUGUCAUGACUGUUGGGGAAGAUUCAUAACUGAACUUAAAAGAGUUGUUACCAGAAUGUACAUCUACUGAGAGUUUAAAAUGUUUAUUUCCUGGCAAUGUGAUGCAAUACUGACAAAAUAUAUCAAAAUGAGAUUUAUUAAAUGAGCUCAAAGAUC